CACGAGGCUGACAUCUGCGUGCCAUUUCGGUUAAACGUUGGUCCCAGGUUGGUGUAAAGACUGACUCUGCUCAGUCUUCCUUGGAGAAUUGAUGACUUCUGUGUGACAAACAAGAACUGCUUGUUCCAGCAACGAGAAAGGUUUAAGGAGGAUUCCAAAGAUUGUGGAUACCAAAGAAGAUGAAGGAAAUGACUGUCUGACUGGCCUGCACAAAAACUGACAACAUGCACAGGAGCCAAGGAGCCACCGUGGGAGACACUGAGAAGCAGUCAGACCCUGUGGGAGGAUCAGGCAACAGAGGAUGGAGGGAUGGAGAGGAGAGCGAGGAAACUGAGGCUUGGGUGUGGUUAGAUGGAAAAUUAGGAAGACAGACACAAAGACUCUGCUAUCAAAAAUUUGUCCAUGUUGUUUUGGAUGAUGAGUUGUGUUCUUGAUUAUGACAAAGUGAGAGUUUACUUCUAACCUUUAUGGAUUAGUCACACAGAUAAAACAGGCCCUCGAAACAGAGUAAGAUGACAUCAUUUUGUUGACCUAAAACCUUUUGUUCUUCUCUUCUGCAGCGUGCUAAAUCUUUAAUAACAAGUCUAAUGUUCUGUGACAAAUAGUGAAAGCACUUUCACUCUGUGCUUUUUGUUG